UACCGAACAGCUAGCCCAACCCACCAAUAGCAACAACCCACUAUAAAUACCCCCAAAUAAACGAGCAUUAACCAAACAAACCAUUUUUCCCCCUAAGUAUGGGAGACAGAAAAG
rnacentral:rRNA from 1 species